CCCCCCCCCCCGCCCACCCGGCCCCGUCACGGCACCGGCGGGCACGGCCCGGCUGCCGCCGUCAGCGCGUUGCCUUUCUUUUCGUUUUUCAGGGUUUCACCUGGAAACCUUGGCAGUUCUCCUACUGGAAGUCUGGACAAUUGUGGCAAUAGGCUUGCUUACCUCCAAGGCUGCUUCAGACUGUGCUUUGACUACUUUCCUACAGACCCUCUUAGAGGGCUUGCCAAAGAAGUACCACAGGCAUAAGAGAAGAGCACCGCAGAACAGCCUGGUAUUUAGUCAUUGGCUUGUAAAUAUCUUUUACAGAUUUCCUAUCUGCAUCUGAUGCUAUGCAUGGCAAAUCACUGAAUUAGCCAGCUUCUUUUACGCCUUUGUUAAGGGAGAGCUUGGAACAUUAAGUUUUAUGUUUAGGGACAAUAAAGCUACAUAUUCACAUCGGAAAAGUAAAAAACAAUAAAACACACAGGGCCAAGUUUUACCAAGGUCUGUGUACCCCUCCGUAAGGCUGUGGAGCCCAAGCACACCAACAGAGGAGGAGGAUGGCUUGCCUGGCUGCUGCCAGCUCGGACUGCAAGCGGGAGGAAAUCAGGAAGGAACAGAAGUUGCCAUACAGGAACAUUCCAUACCACUGGGAGCUCACAGCUCAAGUGGCAUUAUGAGUUUUAUCAAAUUGCCUUGAAAGAGAGCCGGAAGCUUCACUGCAUGGUAAACAAACACAUCCCUAAUUAUCAUCAGCUUUCCUAAAUUCCCUGUUUCCCCCAUCAUCUUGCCCCUUAAAAUAUUUUGGCUUGUACAGCCAAUUCAACUCAGCAGUCUUUAUGCUUCGGGAUGCAACAACUUUCCUGAUCUGUUUGAAUCCACAGAACUUUUAACAUGUGAAAAAGAAGGAGCAUUCAUUCCAGCUUCACCCCCCUCUCUUCAAAGCACUGUUGGAGAGGAGCAGUGCCUCUGGUUUCCCUUCACAUGCCAGGAUUUUGCAUUUCUAUCUCAACCGGGCCCCCCAGCCCCUGUCUGUACAGGCCUCAGUUCACCCAGAACACAGAGCAUCUUGUGCAAGCAGGUUGCAGCUGCAACAUUCUGUUUCAUUUCUGUGAUCUACCUAUCUUCUGCUGUGAUGUUAUUCUGAGACUUACGUUUUUUAUCUCGACUUAAAGUUUCUAAGUUUGUAACGAUUUUUGUUUAGAAGAUACUGUUUUCCCUGGUAUUCAUUACAAUUGGCUGUGGUUUGAGCAUGUCGGGAGCUUAGUCAGCUGCUGGUGCAAUGAGAGGCCAAGACUUGUUUUUCUUCUUUUUAUCCCUUUCAUCCAGUGGAAAAAGUUUCCUGCUGCUUUGCCUACUGAUAUUCGAUAUCCUGUCUCCAACUGAUGCACAUCUUUAAGUUUUAAAGAACAGCAUGUCAGCAAGCUCUGUUAAUUAUCACUCAUUUUGUCCUCUCCCCGCUCCCCCCCCCCCCUCCCCUUGCAUUGUGAGAUUAUUUUGGAGGAUGUACCUCUCAAGGAAAUGAUUGUUUCUGAUUCAACUUCACUCAUCUGU